rnacentral:lncRNA from 1 species
UUCAAUAGAUCGGCUGAUGGGUCUAUUGAGAAGAUCGAAGCUCAGAAGCAAUUACAGAAUGAGAUUUUAAGCAGGCAGCAAGUGGAUCAAAAUAUACAUCAAAUCAUAGCACUAGUUUUUGGGGAAGAAAAUGUGUCGAAAAUGAUUGAGUCCAUUCGACCAGCAGGCCAGCCUCGGGUAAUUUUUAAAAUCCUCCCCUGAGGUUUGGGCUUGUUGCAAGUAGAUGGCGAGAAUCCGUUUAUUUAUAAAACAAUCCCUACCGUCAGUUAGUUUUUACAUUGACCAUUAGUUGACUGUGCAAAGACAAUAUUGUCGCUAUUGACAGUUUGUAGACUAACAUAGCUAAAAAAAUGCUGAGAUUGUUGGCACGAAAAUCACAAAUCCUUUUUAUUCCCUAAGGAUAAACACUCGCAUGAAGCUACAACAAUCCCCUGGCACUCGAAAAAAAGAACCUGCACCACCAAGACCAUAUAUUUCAUUUUUGCAAAAUAAUCAUUUUUGGUUGCUUAAUUUUGGAAGUAUAAUAAUAAUAAUAAUAAUAAUAAUAAUAAUAAUAAUAAUAAUAAUAAUAAUAAUCACAAAAAAUUAAUCUUUGGUGGAGAAUUUUAAAUUGAAACCGACUCAGGAACCUACAAUUGAUCAAAAGGAACCUAAUAGUAAUAAAAAAGUAACCGAUCAAAAAUCAUUAAGGAUAAUAAAAAUAUUGAAUUUAAAUAACUAAAAAUGCCAUCGGAAAUUGAAAUUAAUUAUUUAACAUAUAGCAUGAAACAAAUCUUCACUAUUGGUGCUAGGCGACUGUCAUUCAGCUUGGAUCUAAGAGGUGGCGCGUUCGAGGUCAAAUAAGCUGCAGCAGAGGUGGCAGGGGGCAGAUUGCAGCGAGGUCGCGGUGGAGCAAAGGUUGUGUCGCGGUGGAGAAGAGGUUGCGUUGCGCUGACUUGGCUUCACGGUGAUGGGAUGGCUGGGCUGGGUAGCCGCUUGGCCGGCUGUGUGUGCGCUGUAUUGGAUUGUAUUUUCACUUUUUUGAUAAUUUCUUGUGUGUUAAUUUAGAUUAGAUUAGUGAGUUUGUGUGUGUUGUGUGUUUACAAUUGAUUUGAUUAGAUAUUUAAGUUAAAACAAUUUAUUGCAAACUUUUUUUUGUAAGUUUGGCUUUUAUUUGUGUCAUAAUAAAGUAACUGAAAUGACUAGUUACUGUUCUCAAAGCAACGAAAGUUGCAAAAAAUUUGUUUUAUUGCGAAAUGUCAACAAUGCCCACAACUACCCAAACGGCAACCAAACGGAGCAAAAAUAUAGGGGGUUUUUUUACAAAUAAAUAAAUUCUCACUAUCUACUUGCAACAAGCUCAAACCUCAGGGAAGGUUUUUAAAAAUUACCCGGCCAGCCUCUUGUAGACGACUGGGAUUGCUUGAAAAUGCUUGUAAGUUUUUAUAUUAUUAUUAUUAUUUUUAAUUAAUUCCAUUAUUAUCUCAAGCAUACACACGUAGGCACACACAUAAUCAUUUUUAGGUGCGGCUGCCCUCAAUUUUUUCAAUGCAGCUGUCCGCAUGGUUUAACUGUGUGUGUAUAUAUAAUUUAAUUGAUUAUUUUGAUUAAUUAAUUAAUUAUAUAUAUAGGUGAGAAUUUAUGGGGAAAUUUGUGGAUUAUUAUCAGUAUAUGGAAAGAAGUACACAAGAGCACUGGCCAACAUGUGCAAUGCUGGAAUCAAUGAGAAGCAGAUGACUUUGGCAUCCAAUCAAGCUUGUAUGAAAUAAAAUAAGUAAAAUGAUUAUUUGAAUAAGUUCUUGAAAUAAAAUACGUCUUUGAAUAUUUGAAGAAUAUACCUAAAGCUUUUAAUUUCUCUGUUUAAAAAUAUAUUUUCUUUCUUUUAAUUUCUUUCUUUGAGGAAAAAAAUGUGAUUUGAUUUUCUUUUUAUACGGUUCAAUUGAUAUUGUAGCUAGUUGUUAUCAGGCCUAAAAACUUCAGUAGUUGGAUGAAAAUAACCCAAAAAGAAAAAUAAAUGAUAACAAAAUAAGAAUAAAGAAUAAAUCCUUUAAUUUGAAUUUUUUUUUUUCCCGAUAAGAUCAUUCUUUUAACCAGAUCCAAAGAAAUGCUUUAUACUUUUUUUGCAUGACACUUGAGAAAAGAAAAAAACACAUUAGAAGAAAAAUAAAGAAUUAUGAUAUUUCAAGACAACAGCUAUAAGAUAACAAAACCCAAAGCAAAUAUGAAAAAAAAAACAAUAAAAAAAGGCAUUAACAUUCUUUAUCCAUCCUUCAAUUAUUGCCUCAAUAUUAACAAAUCAUUUAAAAUCCCAAAGAUCAUAUUAAUUGUGCUAUUGAGGCUUUGGGACAUUGUAAUCAAAGGGUGAGAAAGCUAUCCUUUUUUUUCCCUAUAAAAAGUUUUAUUUUCUUAAUCAUUAUCAUGCGUAAUUAAAAAAUUAUCAAAAUCACCACCUAAAGCAACUUAUAAAUAUGAAAAUAGUGCUAAACAUCUCAAAUUUUUUAUUUUAAAAAAUUAUAUCAGAUUAUGUGACAUUCACUAAUUAGUUGGAGAGAUAAUAUAAUUAAUUUAUCUAGAUUUAGUAAAAAAUUAUCAAUUAUUCAAUUAAUAAAAUUUAGAAUAAAGAAUUUGGAAUGUCUGUCGUACUCUAAAUAUAAUAGGCACCAAAAUAAUGAAAAAUUAAAGUUUAAGAGUUCAAAAUAUUUUAUUUAUAGUCUCAUGAAUAGAACAACAUAAUUGCAAACGGCACAUUUUCUCACUAACGUUUCUUUGUUGGCACACGUAAUUAUAAAAAAUUUAGAACAGUAGUACCGAAUGAGCUUGAAUUAAUUAAUUGUAUUGUGUGUAAUGCAUUGAGGUAUGCUCAACUAAGAUUUGGAAAUUGUUUAAAAAAAAUGAAAUCAUGGAUAUAUUUUCAGAUAAUCCAUAAGUAUUUGAAAAAAAAUAAAGUAUUUAACACCUUAUUAUAUCCUGAUAAAUAUCUCUUCUACUAAACUUGACAAACACUAAUAUAACAAACCCCAAUUAUUUUCUCCUGUAUUCUUUUGCGCUCUCAUAGGUGUCAUUUUAUUUUUUUGAGUCUUUUGUUGCUAAAUUUUUAGAUUCAUGAUCAGUUCAUUUUCAUGAUUUUUUUUUUUAGUCUAUGAUCUUCAUCUAUACAAAUUUAAAAUACUCCCUUUUGUUUUCUUCAUUUUUUCAGAUUAAUUAUUUUUAAUUUUGGGAAACUAAUGUUUUUAAGUUUUGUAAAGAAAGAAAGUUUGGAGAGAAGAAUAAAGAUAACAAUACUUCAAAAGAAAUUACCACUUAUAGAAUUGUUUGUGUGAAAGGUAAGGUAAGAAGACUAUUAAAAAAAAUUUAAGAGUGAGAAAAUUGAUAGAAAUCAAAGAAAAUUUGGAAAUCAAAGCACACUCAAAUUAAGGAUGAUAAUUUAGAAAGAAAUUGUCUUUUUAGUAUUAAAUGAAUCAUAAUUGAAAGGGGGUUUUAAAAGAAUAAUAGAAAGGUGUUAAAAGCCUCUCUCUUUUCAAUUUCGUGUACCUUUCUAUUGUUUGGUUGACCACAAAAUGGGGGAAUUUAAUUUCCUUUGAAAUUUAAAUUCCAUCUAAUUAAGGGAUCUGAAUUAUUCGCGAAGAGUGAAGCAGGGGCAGAGCUACUUAUGGGUUGGGCCUAUAGCUCGUCCAAAAUUUUGAUAAAUUUACAAAAAUAUCAUUGUGCAAAAUUUUAAAAAUUGUCAUUGCUUUACACUUUUAUUUACAAUUACCAUUCUAUUAAUUUACCAUUUUACCAUUCAAAUAAAUAAAUAAAUAAAAUUAGCAUUUACUUAAUUCUUUGAGAACGUGCUCUCUUUGUUUGUUGGCUUCUUUGUGCUGACAUGCUCUACUUCUUCGGUUAUUCGUCUUCUCUUGGUAAGUAUAUAUAACAAAUUUAUUUUUUAUUUGAUUAUUUACAAUAUAUUUAUAGAUUGUCAGGUAGUAAAAACUAAAAAUCAUUUUCUUUACUUAGUUCAUGUUCUAAUUUUAUUGUGUAAGAUUAAAUUAUUGUUAGGUCAAACCAUUGAAUUCUAGCAAUUAAAAUUUAAAAUUGAUUAUUGAUAAUAAUAAAUUAGAGAUAAUUAUUUCAGUGAAAAAGAAGAAGUGCUGCAAGAGCUUAUCAAGACACCACUUUGAAAUAAGAUGGAGAAUUUUCUACAUCAGAUUAUAUGGUUAUCUAUAUUGAAAGAAAAUUUCUAGACAUUGUGAAUUCAAAUUCAAUAAUAGAUGAAUUUAAUUCUCGAAAGUUUAGAAAGACAGAAGUAAAAUAUUACUUAAUUGUAAUUGAAUUGCUUCUUAAAUUUGAUGUAUUUUCUUAUGUAUUAAUGAAAUUUUCAUUAAAAUUUAUAUUUUUAAUUGCAAUAAUAGUUGGACUUGGAAAAAAUUUAGCACACCCAAAAAAAAUUUCCUUACUUCACCCCUGAAAUGAAGAAUCCAAAUUCCAAAUUCGCUAGAAAUCGAAACUUCCAAAUCUACCUCUUUUAUACUUUACUAUUAAUUAGUUCAUUGUUACUAAAUCAAUUAUUAUUUAUAAUUUUUUUGUCACGUAAUUCAAUGGCAAAGUUUGAUUCAACAAGAAAUUUUUUUAAAAAGAUUUUUUUAUUUAACUAAAAAAAACUCGUUAAUUACACUUAAAUGUAAUUUUUUAUUUAAAAAUAAAUAAUAAUUGAGUAGGGGUAAGAAUACAUUUUAUAACUAAUUGUAGAGAUAGAAAUAUCAUUUUGUAGCUAUUACAAGGGCAAAAAAAGUUAUUUUAUAAUUAAUUUUAGGAGCAAAAAUAUCAUUUUAUAAUUAUUUUUAUGUUUCCAUUAAAGUUAACAGAUUAUUACCCGCUCAAGUAUUUUUUAAAAAAUAUGUCACUUUUUAAAAAUUUAUCAAAACAUGUGUCACCCAAGGGUAAUUAUUUCUGAUUUUUUAAAUUCUUAGGUGUUUGCCAUUUGAUUUAAUCAUGUAACAUAUACAUUAAUACCUAUGGCGAGAAAACAUAUCUCAUCCUUCUAUCAACAAACAGUAACCUCUAAAUCUUCCAGCUUGUUUUUGGGGUUUGAGGCAUUUUCGUCUUUCACUAUUCAAAUGGACGGUUAAGCUGAUGGCAGGAGUGGUAUGUAAUAAUACAGCAAACUCACCAUCUAAAUAUAAAUACAUGAAACUUCAGGGGAAGCUAUCUAAACUUUACCCUACUAGAAAAUGGGCCCAAUCCCCGUUAGCAGCCCCCAUUGAAAGAGUGCGGCAAAGCAACCACCUGGGUAAAAGUACAUCUUAAAAAUAAACAUGAAAAAGAAUAGGAUAUCCCUAUCUUAUAUGUAUAUAAGAUAUAUUUUUUCACAUAAAUAGUAUAUGUGGAUGAAAGGUUCAGAAUGAAAGAACCAUUGACACCGAAUUUAUUAUAAAUAAAAUUAAUUAUUUGUUUAUGACCUGAUUGAAGGUUGAUAUAAAUCUUGUAUUUUAUGACUUUAUAACGAUUUUUAGAAUUUCAAAGUUCAAACCCAUAAAAAAUGAUAAGUAAAGUGAGACUGAGAAUUCAUUUGGCUUGGCAAUGGUGAUGGUAAAAUGAAUUUUUUCCUCGGUUUAUUGACUGUUCUUAAUGAGUCGUGAUCUAAUAAUCAAUUCUUUUGUCCUUUCUCAUAUAUUUCCACGGAUAAAACUGUGGUGCAACUGUGGUACCGUGCCACAGUUGCACCUAACCGUUAGAUUCUCACUUAUUCAAGUGGACCCCACUCAUUUGAAUGGAUCCAACGGCUGGUGGAACUGUGGCACGGUACCACCCGUUGCACUGUAGACUGACCCUAUUUCCACAUAUGAAUAAUCAUGGUUUGACUAAAGAUUUUUUUUUUUUUUCCUCUAUGGACCAUUCACAGACAGUCAUGGUUUAACGAAAAAAAUUUCUCUCUCGUUUUUCCUUUAUUGACUAUCCUUAAUCUGUCAUAAUCUAGCUAAUAAUUUUGUUAUCUGUCCACUAUUAUUGAUCAAUCGUGAAUUCCUCCAUUUUAUUGGUUCCUUAAAAUCUUGAAUUUUUUAUUAUUACGACUUAUCUCGUUAUAACAAAUGAAAGAACGAGGAAGAGGAAAUGGAGAUAUGAAUCAAGUAAAAUUAUAAAAAGAUUCUAUUUUAUCUAAUUAAACUAUGUUGGGUUAUUUUUAGUGACCUCCCCUGAGAUUUGGUUUAUUAACAGUCUAAUAGAAAGUAUUCAUGUAAUUACAAAGACCUCCCUUAACAUUAGUAUAAAAAUACGUAAGCGUCAGUAUAAAAGGGUAAACAAGUAAAAGUAAACUUGAAAUUUAAACAAAAUCAAAAUUCAAGCAAAAUAUGCUUCAAUGUCCGUGAAAUGGAGACUUAAACACACCAUUACCCAGUCUAAAGUCAUUAUCCAGUAGAUGAAAGGAAAUGAUUUUUUCACAAAGUGUACUUCUCGUAAACACAGCUUACACUUGAACAAAACCCACCAUCAUUUUCAUCCAUGGAGAAGAAGCGUCUGCAACUCACAAAUAAUUUCUGAAAUCAUUGAUUUAUUUUCAUCUACUGCACAAGAUGACGUCGUGCGGUGGUCCAUAGCUUUCAAGAAGCGAGUAUUGCCAGCAUCUAGCGUCUAUCGUGAUUGGAAUUAGAUCGCAAGAAGAGGCCAGUCUUCGAAAACACAGCUUGCAUGCUUGAAUCAGUGGCUCACAAGAUAUUGUUGUUAUUUUAUUGAUUAAAAAUAACAAUGGGUCUGUUUUAAUUAAUGAAAGUCUGUUUUAAUUAAUGAAAAUGGUGCUGGAUGUUGUUUCUCUCUGGGGUUGUUAGUGUUGAGUUGAAAAAAACUAUUGGGUAAUGACUGAUAAGAGCAAUUUCCUAAUGAUUUAAGAGUUGUGUAAGUACUAGAUGUAGUUCAUCAAAGAUAGGUUCAGUUUGCUUAUAAUGUGAUAAUAUUUUAGAGAGCCCACAGUGGUUUAUGUGAUUGUUCAGUUUGGGGUCAUGACACUAAUUGAGUUGUGUGUUAGUUUCGGUUUGUGCAUGCCUUUGGUGUUCUUUUGCCUUAUUGUUGUAAUACCUUCAAUAAUUUGGUGGUGGUAUUUUUUAUUUUUAUUUUUUUGAGUAGGUAAUUUUGUAUUUGCUAAAUAAUGUGAUUGUAAUCACAUGUAACUUAAGUAUAUUGUUCUACACACAAUUUUUGCUCCCAUGUGAGAUGUUCUCUGUGUUUUUGUCUAAGGCUUUUGUUUGUUAUUCAAACUAGAAAAUAGUGGAUGCAAGACUAUGAAUUUGGCAUGUGAUAAACUUUGAAAUUGCCCUUUUUCUAGAUUAAAAAAUAUUGACUUGCCAUUUUCCUUGUUUGAUUCUAAUUUUCAAACAAGUGUGCCGAAAUCUUAAGUUCGAUUACAUGUUGUUUAUUGUAUUUCUUAUUUCAAAGUCUGUAAUCUAUCUGCGUGCAUCAUUUCAGAAGAAGAAUAAGCAGCUGCAGCAAGUCCAUUAGUUUAGGUGUUCCGAGUACGACAGAGAUGAUGCUCUAAAUCCAGGUUUGAGGCACCAACAAAACUCAAAGAUAUCAAUUAUAGAGUGGGAUUUUCAGGACCUGAAAUCCAAUUUAAUAAUUACUUGAUCUGGGUUUAAAUAUGGAUGGAGCAAAGAUUGGUAUCAGAAGGGUUUUAUGGUCGGUGCCAACGCAUGUACUAUCAAGUUUACAAUAUGAAAAUCAUUUCUUUUAAUAGCUCUGCUCUUGUGGCAUGUAAUAGUUAUGAAGUAGUUUGUAAUAAAAAAAAUCACAAUAAUAAUAAGCAUGCAGGAUGCAGCUAUGCCACCACACAUUAUUUCAAUUAUUUUUAUUAUUAUGCAAUGUCAAUUUUUUUAUUAAGCAAUUUCAUCUUCUUAAGUAAUUUGUUAUUUUGGCGAAUUACCCAUUAGUUCAUAAAUGAAUAAAGAAAUAUUUUGACAGGAAGGGUAUUUUUGGAUUUUCAAUAGUCAACUAACAGUCCACUUUACAGAAUACAAAUGUCAGGGGAGGUCUUUGUAAUUACGUGAAUACUUUCUAUCAGACUGUUAAUAUACCAAACCUCAGGGGAGGUCCCUAAAAAUAACCCAAACUAUACUAGUAUAAAAAUAAAGCUUACUCUAUUUAUAUUAUUAAAUAAAAUCAUUUGUCAAACAAUAUUUGGCAUCAAAGAGUAACUUGGUCGAAAUAAAAUAUUUGGUUGACGUUCGUUUCUUCCACAUAAAAAAUAUUAUGUGCACCCAACUAACAUUUUUUCAUAAAGAUUCCUUUGAUGAUCAUCAUAUAUCAUCAUCUCAUUUGAAAUAAAUAUUUUUACAUAAAAUUUAGAAUAUUGAGUUACUUUAAAACAAUCUCUCGUUAUUAUUAUUAUUAUUAUUAUUAUUUUAAAUCUAUAUACAACAUUGCCAUAGUAAUGCAUUUUAAGAAAGUUUUAUGGAGUACACAAUCCCAAAUUUUAUCAAUUAAAUACCCUUUGAGACAAUUGUUGGCAGGUUCAAAAAUAAUUUUUAUUAGGAAGUUUAAAAUUAAUUUUGAUGUUUGAUAAUUUUUUUUAAAAGAGUAAAUUUUGAAUUACUCCUUUUGUAAAAUGACAAUUUUUAAAAUAUGGUUUAAAUUGUUGUAAACUUGAAUUUAUUCCUUUUUUAUUCAAAAGAUUAGGCAAAAAUGAGGGUGGGUCGAUAUUGGCAAAACCAAUUCCUACAACACAUUCUGAUUAUGUUAAGAAAGUUUCAUUUAACAUUUUGCCUAUUUUAUAUUUUACCGACAACAGUAAAUGCCUGAGUCCAUAUUAACCAUAUAAACAUGUUCAAUAAUCACGAUUAUCAAAGAAUUUAAAGAUUAAUAUAGAAUUUAUAAAACGAGAAUCAGGCCUCAAACCGGACAAAACAGGAAUAUUCGGUCCGGUUUGAAUCCGGUCCGGAUGCUGUAACAUAAAUCUCGGUUGCUAAUUUUAUGUUUACAUGUCAACUUAUGACCUGGCAGUCCGCCACAAUCCUAUUGGUCUGCUGACAUGUCAAUUUUACUCGAACAAAUAUCCAAAAAAAUUAAAAAUAAAAAUAAAAGGAAAGUGAGAAAAAAGGAAAAAUAAUAAAUCUCGCUCAUGAAGUCUAAUUUGCUUCUCACUUAAAAGUCCUGCAAAUAAUAAUAAUAAUAAUAAUAAUAAUAAUAAUAAGAAUCUUGACAGAAGAUUGUGAGAGAGAGAGAGAGAGAGCUGUUAAAGAUCGAACAAGUUUCGAGCAUUUUUGCGUUUUUACAGAACUCCAUUGCAUUGGUAAUCUUCUACUUUUUCUCUGUUCAUUAUUCUGUGUUAAUUUGUGAAUCUGCUUAUAGAUCGAACAAUUUUGUGAUAUUUUUAUAACUCAAUUGUGUGUAAAUGCAUUUGGAUUAGGGUUUCGACGUUUAGAUCUUGCGUUUCGUUAUGUUCUGUUUCGUUGCCGUUAAAAUGUUGCAAAUGAAGGCUCGUUACAGUUGUUAAUUUCUCGAUGUCUCUUGUCUUAUUCAUUUGGUGCAAUUAAAAUGAUUUGAUUUAUUGGCAUUUGGUUUUCGUUUGAAUUUUUUUUUUUUUCAGGAUAAGUGAUGGUGAUAAUAUUUGCAAAUCCUUGAAUUCUUUUUAGAGUUUUAUUUGAAGUUGAAGGGGGGGAGUUGGCCCUGAAACGGCAGGGAUAGUGAAUUUAUCAAACACAAUGAUGAUGGAUGAUGAUAUGGAGAAUGGUGGUUUGGGGCCUUACCAAGAUCGGCCGAGGACGUUCCCCAACAUGCGUAGUAAAUCUAUUUUCAUAAAUUUAGUGAUGGGUUCCCCUUCAUUUUAUUUAUGGUGCUCAUAAUUAUAUGUCAUUUUGCCUUUUCAAUCCUUUGUUGGUUGCCCUUUUAGUAUAUUACAUGCAAUUUCAAUGGCUAUGGUUUUCUUAAAUUAUUUAUGUUGUUGUUGUUGUGUAGCUUCAGAUGGUCUAAUUGAAAUUACGAAUGUGGAUUAGUGUCAAAAUGGGAAGUGUUUGUAAAGUAGUAUAAUAGCAAUAAUAUAGCAAAAGCAAUGGGGACUGUGAUUAGUAAAGCUGCUAGUGGUAUAGGCAGUGUUCUUGGCACUGCUUUCGUGGCUCCAUUUAAGAGCAUCUUCAAUGGAUCUUGUGAGUAAGUAAUUCUAAUUCGUCAUCUCUCAUAACGCUUCUCUUUAUUCGUAUAAAUCUUUACAACAUUAAUUAUGUAUGUAAUUGCUUUAGUUGCUUAAUUAUACCAUAAUAAUGAAAGGGAGUAUCUUGCAAGUUACAAUCUAUUUGAUUAUUGCCAAUGUAAUGAUCUAUAUGUGUUCAUUUGAAAGAGGUCGUAUCAAUUGCUUUAUGCAUACAUGCGCGCGCAUUUAUUGAAUGGUGGUUUGAUUCCAUUUGCUUGGCUAUGCAGGGAUGUUUGUCCAGGACCAUGGGACAUAAUUUGUUUCAUCGAGCACUUAUGUGUCACCAAUCUGGUGAAACUGCUAAUGAUUUUGGGGCUGUGCUACAUAAGUAAUCUCAGCUCUCAUACUUAACAAUUCACCUUCCCAUUUAAGUUUAAUUUCUUUUCGAAUUCUUCUAUUUUCAUUUUGACAGUUGAUUGAAUGAACAAAUUGAUGAAAUAAACAAAAAUAAGACAAAUUAAUAAUUCAGAAAAUAUUUGGGUUUCAUAAAGAAUGUAACAGAACUCUCUCCCGAAUUUGUAUAUUUUGGAAUGGCAAUCGUUGAGCACAAAUCAUGAUAAUGCUGUUUGUUUCAAUCUUUGCUUAUAAAUGAUCUUAAGCUAAAUAUGGUAAAUUUUUGUUUCUUUUUGUUAUAUUUACUAGUUAUAUUUAAGUACAGCCAGAAUAGAAUUAACUGCUAGGUUUUUGUCAUUUAUUAUAUCAUUUUUCAUAUUUUCAGUUUUGUUGUUCUGCUACCUAUUGUUCAAAGUGGGAAUCUGCCAAUGCAUUGUAAGAAGCCUUUGUAAGAUGUGCUGGGCUGCUUGUGAAACAUACUGGUAUAUGGUUUAAUUGGAGUGCAUGAGUGCCAAAAUUUAACACUUAUCGGCGCGUUGAAGUUAUUCUAAAAUUUGUAAAGCCCGUUUAAAUAUAAGUUCUUGAAGAGCCGGCCUAUGUGAAAAUUAAAUUAAGUCUUUACAACGCACAUUAUCAUUCAUACGCAAAUAAUAGAUAUUUACCGAACCACAAAGGGGGGUAUAUGUCAACUAUCUAAAAGAAUUAAAUCAGUACGUAUUUUUCCAAACAUCAGGGUGAUAUAUGUCAUUACCUCUAAGGACUGUUUUCAGUUACUCACAAGCACUUCUUGACAAAAGCAUUGCCUCCAAGGAAGCAUAGAUUUUGCUUCGUCUAGGCUAAUAUUUCAUGCAACGCUAGAAAUUUGAAUUACUUAGUUGCUUUAUGCGAAAUGCAUUUUGGCUCCUCUUCAAAAAUUAAUUACACCAGCACAUGGAAAAUGCAUAAUUAAGGCUAGUUGAAAUAAUUUUCUCCUAUUUAUUUAUUUUGAAGGCCAAAAUAUUUUCAAGACUAGAGGAAACCAUUACACAAUAUACGAAACAAUUGAAUGGAAAACCAUUACACAUUAUUACUUUGUAUAACGGAUAUAGCUGAUAUUGAUCUUGGAUUACAGAUCCAUAUGGACAUAUGUAGCUUAUAUUGAUCCCAGAUUAGAGAUCAAUACGGAUAUAGCGUACAUUGGUCUUGGAUUAGAGAUCAGUAAUAAAGAAAAAAUCUGAAAAUAAUCAACGAUCAAACUCAGACACACGUAAUUACUAACUAAAUCUCAUACUACAAAUUUAGAUACGGACAAAAACAUUUAUUAGAUCUAAGGCAUAAAAUCAAACAAAUAAAAAAAGAUGGCUGAGAUUGAGAUUUAGAAUAAAAUUUCUUGUCAAUUUUGUGUUUCUUAGGAUAUAAAUAGAGGCCAAAAGUAUCGAGAAAAUAUCUUUUGGCUAUUUUUCUGAAAGUCGAGAGAAAUCCAUAAUCCAAAUCAAGAAAUUCUCUAAACACAAGCGUUAACAAAAACAUCAGAGCAUCUUUUGCAAGCACAUGCUCGAAUCCAAUUUGUGGAGACUCUCAUGGACAACAAAUCAACAUCGAAGCUUGUAGAGUAAACAAGUAUAAGUUACUAUUUACUAUUUCUUUAGUCGUUUUUGUCUAGCUAAUUGAAGGGGUUUUGAACCUUUGCAAGUCAUAAAUGAACUUUUAUAUUCAAACUAGGGUAGUUAAUUAAAUAAACAUAUUUAAAAACCACUCUGCAAUAACUUAAAUGGUAAAAGAUUAUCUAUACAAAACAAAAGAAAUAUGAAAUAUAAAAAUUCCAGCUAUUUGAAGACCAAGUUCUUUUCAUGUGAAAGAGGCAAUAUAUGGAGAAGCAUUUUGACCAAUUUAGAUAGAAAUGUGAAAUUAGUGCAUCCUUGCUUCACGAUUCUACCUUGCUAAUGUAGUGCUUUCGAGAUACCGCAUCAAUAACACAGAAACAAUAACUCUUAUUAAUUUUAGAAAUUUUUUUGAUAAUUUUAAUUAAACUUUUAUUUAUUUAUCUUGUUUUAAGUUAUAGUGCUUUAUCCUGAAGCAAUAACCAAUUAAUUGAAUUGCUUUCUGUCAAUGAAUACUAAAAGUUUCAAAAAAAAUUAAAAAAAAAAAGAAAGAAAGAAAGAAAGAGAUGCAAAUUGCUGUUGAUAAUUGAGUUUAAUUUGGGAAACAUAAAAUAAUUUAGCAUAACUUAUGUUGAAUGAAUGAAUUUAUUAAGUUGAUCAAAAAGAGAAAACAAAAAGAUUAUCCUAUGGAAGAAGAUAAAGCCAGUUUUGUAAUAUCUGGAAUGGUGGUGCACGAGGGUACAUUCUCUUACUAUUUAAUCACUUUACUAUUAUUAAUCAAUCUGAUUGAGAAAUGUUUAAUGUGCUAGGAAUUAAUGAAUGACUUAUGAGUUAUGACUAUCUCUUUUAAGUUUUUUCUUUUUUUUUUUAUUGAGUAUUUCGAUUUUCUGCUCACUCAUUUGAGAGGAGUUCAAAUUUAAAAUUUUAUAUUUCCACUGAAGAGAUUUUAUCAAUUCAACUAAUUAGUACUCAAUCUCUCUUUUAUUUUUAGCUUGCAACCACUAAUUGGCUUAUUUAGCAAGUUCUCUCAUAAUUGUUCAAAAUGUUCCAAUUGUUUCAAAUUUUGGACGGGUUUUAAAUAAAUGGACAGCAACAAUCGUGUUGACUGUGAUUUGACAAAAUGGUGAUAACUUAUUUUUUAAAAAAAAUUGCGAGGAAAAACCAUUUGAGACAAAAAUAAAAAACCUCAUAAUUUAUUUAUUUCUUUUUUUUUUCUAAUAGAAAUGUUCCCGCAAAUCCUGAAUUUUGACCCAAAAAAAUAUUAUAUAUCCCAAAAGAGUUUGUGCAAUCGUUUUACCAAAUUACACUCCCGGUCGUUUUUCCCUCAGUUCCGUAAAAGAUUGGAUUAUAUAAACAUAUAUGUAAACGAUUAUUAUUAUGAGACUACACAAUUAAAUAUAAAAAAUUUUAAUUAACAAUUUCUUAAUUUUCUCCAUGAUGAGGCCAAUGGUUUGAGUAUUCCAGUGGGUGUGGGAGCUUGGUAACUUUUAAUUAUUUUCUUUGAUUUUAGUUGAAAUUCAACUUUCAUACAUUCAAAUAGAUCUCAACGGACACUAAAUUAAGCUUCAAAAUUCCAAAAGACCUUUAGACCAAUAUUAUUUUUCUUACUCACUUAAUAAACGACAAAUAAGAUGGCAUAAAAAAGGUUAUUUAAUUAAGAGUUUUGUUAAUUUAUAAUUAAUGUAACUUACAAUCCUUGUAAUAAGACAGUAGAUUCCACUAUCAUAUCACAAAUUUUUAUAUAUUUUAUCAUAACUGUAAGUUGCAUAACUUAAUAAAAUCCCACAAUUAAAUAUCACAAUUUCUACCGUACAAUAUUAUGCCAUGGUUUUGUGCGGGGACUUUGAUCUUCUUUUUUUUUUUUUUUUUCACAAGACAAAAUUAGCAAAAACAAAGCCGACACACAAAACCAUGGCAUAAUAUUAGUGGCAGUAAGUGGUCUCAAAAUCAGGCGUUCUAGCCAGUUUCGUUUGGUGGGCAUAUAUGGCUACAAGACAAAGGCUUUUUGCCUGUCAGUUUCUUCAUCAUCAUCAUCGUCAUUAUUAUUAUUAUUAUUAUUUUCUCUAAAAUCCCAAUUGAAAUCUAACACAAAUAAGUAACCAAUUAAUUAAUUAAUGCUCUCUAAAACCCCCAAUUGAAAUCUCUCUAUAUAUAUGUACAUGAAUAUGCUUCCAAUUCUGCUCUGACACUCUCUCUCACUCACUAAUUUUGCUUCCACUAUUUAUCAAAAACAAUGAAUCAUUUCAUCCUCAUUGCUUCACUUCUUCUCCUUUUCUUGUUAAAUAAUUUUGUUGUUGAAGCUCGACAAAUUGCAAAAAGCACAACUACUGGAACCAGAUGGGUAGUUCUAGUUGCUGGAUCCAAUUAUUAUGAAAAUUAUCGGCACCAGGUUAAAUUUUAUUAAUUGAUUAGUUUUAAUUUUUAUUUAAUCUACAUACAAAUUAAUUUUGUCGAUUUUUCACCAUCAAAUUUGUUGGUUAUUUUUGCAGGCCGAUGUGUGUCACGCGUAUCAAAUUCUGAAAAAUGGAGGAUUAAAAGAUGAAAACAUAAUUGUUUUCAUGUAUGAUGAUAUUGCAUUUAACGUUCAAAAUCCAAGGCCUGGUAUCAUCAUCAACAAGCCGUACGGCCCUGAUGUUUAUAAUGGAGUCCCCAAGGUAUUUAUUUUAUUAUUAUUAUUUUUUUUGCUUGAUAAAUAAAUCAAACUUUUUUAAUUUGAUUAUAUGAUUCCUAUGGCUAUUUUACAGGAUUACACUGGUGAAAAUUGUACUGCCAAAAAUUUUCUGGCAGUGAUUCUCGGCAACAGAACUGCACUCACCGGGGGCAGUGGCAAGGUUGUAAAUAGUGGUCCGAAUGACUAUAUUUUUAUUUAUUAUGCAGACCAUGGAAGCGCUGGUAUGGUCGGUAAGUAUCAACAUUAUUAAUUAGUAAAAAUUAAUUGUUUUUUAACCUUUAAUUUCUUCUUAUAAUUUUUUUUUUUUACAUCAAUGUUAUAUUUUAUGAUGUUGCUGUAGCAAUGCCUACUGGAGAUGACCUCUACGCUAAAGAUUUGAUAGAGGUGUUAAAAAAGAAACACGAGGCUAAAUCUUAUAAAAGCAUGGUAAGUAAAUGAAAUCAAUUAACCAUUAUGCAAAUUUAAUUACUAGUUGAUACCUAAUCAAUUAAUUAACAAAUUUUUUUUUUGGUUGGUAAUUUUGGGGGGAAAUUAAUUAGGUAUUUUACCUUGAAGCUUGUGAAUCCGGAAGCAUGUUUGAUGGGCUUCUCACGGAAGACAUGAACAUAUAUGCAGUCACGGCUUCAACUCCUGCAGAGAGCAGCUACGCGAUGUAUUGUCCCGGGCAUUAUCCGAGUCCCGAGGAUGAUUUUGAAACUUGUUUGGGUGAUCUCUUCAGUAUUUCUUGGAUUGAAGAUAGGUCAAUUAAUUGAUUAUUUGAUUUUUCAUCGAUAAAUUGGAUGUUAAUUAAAAUUUAUAAUUUUUUUUUAAACUUUUCUGUGUAAUGGCGUGCAGUGAAAAACAUGAUUUACAGAAGGAAACACUACAGCAACAACACGGAGUGGUAAAAUCUAUUUUUUUGAUUAAUUAAAGUUACCACGUCUCUCUCUCUCUCUUUUUUUAAAAAAAAAAUAAAGUAAAAUUCUCUGGUUAAUUCCGUCGAGUUUUACAGGUUCGGAGGAGGACAUUGGUAGAUUAUUUAGACUUUAGCUCUCAUGUAAUGCAGUACGGAAACAAAGAGCUGAGCAAAGAGCCAAUUUUUACGUAUAUUGGCACGAAUCCUGAUAACGACAACUUCACGAUGAAGGCUGAAGAAUUUUCUUCUAACCCAUCAGCUGAAAUUGCUCAUUCGAGUCGUUUGACGAGGGGAGCUGUUAGUCAACGCGAUGCUCAACUUCAUUAUCUUUGGCACAGGGUAAUUCAAUUAAUCUUAUCCAAUUAUUGUUUAAUUAGAUCUUGUAAUUUGAGUUAUAAUAAUGUUUAUUCUUGCAGUUCAAUAGAUCGGCUGAUGGGUCUAGUGAGAAGAUCGAUGCUCAGAAGCAAUUACAGAAUGAGAUUUUAAGCAGGCAGCAAGUGGAUCAAAAUAUACAUCAAAUCAUAGCACAAGUUUUUGGGGAAGAAAAUGUGUCGAAAAUGAUUGAGUCCAUUCGACCAGCAGGCCAGCCUCUUGUAGACGACUGGGAUUGCUUGAAAAUGCUUGUAAGUUUUUAUAUUAUUAUUAUUUUUCUAAAUUAAUUCCAUUAUUAUCUCAGUAGGCACACAUAUAAUCAUUUUUAAGUGCGGCUGUCUUU